rnacentral:rRNA from 1 species
AGUGAACGCUGGCGGUAGACCUAACACAUGCAAGUCGAACGGCAGCACAGUAAGAGCUUGCUCUUACGGGUGGCGAGUGGCGGACGGGUGAGGAAUACAUCGGAAUCUACUUUUUCGUGGGGGAUAACGUAGGGAAACUUACGCUAAUACCGCAUACGACCUACGGGUGAAAGCAGGGGAUCUUCGGACCUUGCGCGAUUGAAUGAGCCGAUGUCGGAUUAGCUAGUUGGCGGGGUGAAGGCCCACCAAGGCGACGAUCCGUAGCUGGUCUGAGAGGAUGAUCAGCCACACUGGAACUGAGACACGGUCCAGACUCCUACGGGAGGCAGCAGUGGGGAAUAUUGGACAAUGGGCGCAAGCCUGAUCCAGCCAUACCGCGUGGGUGAAGAAGGCCUUCGGGUUGUAAAGCCCUUUUGUUGGGAAAGAAAAGCAGCAGGUUAAUACCCCGCUGUUCUGACGGUACCCAAAGAAUAAGCACCGGCUAACUUCGUG